rnacentral:rRNA from 1 species
UGCGAGCUACAUUGCAGUCGAGCGGUAGAGAGAAUCUUGCUUCUCUUGAGAGCGGCGGACGGGUGAGUAAUGCCUAGGAAUCUGCCUGGUAGUGGGGGAUAACGUUCGGAAACGGACGCUAAUACCGCAUACGUNCUACGGGAGAAAGCAGGGGACCUUCGGGCCUUGCGCUAUCANAUGAGCCUAGGUCGGAUUAGCUAGUUGGUGAGGUAAUGGCUCACCAAGGCGACGAUCCGUAACUGGUCUGAGAGGAUGAUCAGUCACACUGGAACUGAGACACGGUCCAGACUCCUACGGGAGGCAGCAGUGGGGAAUAUUGGACAAUGGGCGAAAGCCUGAUCCAGCCAUGCCGCGUGUGUGAAGAAGGUCUUCGGAUUGUAAAGCACUUUAAGUUGGGAGGAAGGGCAGUUACCUAAUACGUGAUUGUUUUGACGUUACCGACAGAAUAAGCACCGGCUAACUCUGUGCCAGCAGCCGCGGUAAUACAGAGGGUGCAAGCGUUAAUCAGAAUUACUGGGCGUAAAGCGCGCGUAGGUGGUUAGUUAAGUUGGAUGUGAAAUCCCCGGGCUCAACCUGGGAACUGCAUUCAAAACUGACUGACUAGAGUAUGGUAGAGGGUGGUGGAAUUUCCUGUGUAGCGGUGAAAUGCUUAGAUGUGGGAAAGGACACCAGUGGCGAAGGCGACCGCCUGGACGAUACGGACGCUGGSGGUCGGGGGCGUGGGGAGCAAAGGGAUUAGUCCGCGGUAGUCGCCGCCGUAAACGAUGUCAAGUAGCCGUAGAGAGCCUUGAGUCUUAGUGGCGACUGACGCAUUAAGUGGGCCGCCUGGGGAGCGCGGGCGGAAUGAACGNGAGUGAAUUCACGGGGGCACAGACAACCGGCGGGCGUGGAUUUAAUUCAAAGGAGCGCGGCAACNCUCAACG